rnacentral:miRNA from 1 species
AUGACCUAUGAUUUGACAGACA